rnacentral:lncRNA from 1 species
CGUUGUCAUAUAUAUCCUUAUUCCUUCAAGUCAAGAUAGGAACUGCAUUAAGUAAUGGCAACAAGAUUUACAUGUCUACUCAACAACCCAGCAUAGCCGUUUUCUUAGCUACUCUCCACAAGUCAAAAUCAUGCUUACACAUUAGAAACUUUUUAAUCAAGUCUGUAGGUCCAUAUAAAAAAGGGCACGUUUUUGUUUUGAGUUAGUGUAACCAUAUGAUUUAAGAAUUUCUGUAAACCUCUACAUUGCCACAGAGAAUUUACUGGCAUCAUCUUGUUUUCUUGUUUUUAUAUCAGAAUGCUAUUGUAGAACAUCUAACUGUGGGUCUUGUUUUUUUUUUCUUGCAGGGUUUUGUCUGUUUUCAUGGAUUGUUUUUCAGAGUACGUGAAUGAUUUAAAGAUAAUACAGAGGGACUGCUAAAAUUGCCAGCGCUGUUUCAGAGCACCUUUUUCAUAGCAGAAGUCACAGCAUUCACCUAGAGUGGUUCUGAAACCAAGAAAGUAACACGUCUGAAUGCUUGGGUUUUACUAGCCUGAGCCAUUUGCCCAGUGAUCUAGAGAGGGCUAUUCUUCCUUGUUAUGCUGUUGGCUCCAGGAAUUUGGCAUUAUAUUCUGGCACUGCUAUUGUUCAUUUCAAGACUUCUCCCACCUGGAUUGGAAGUGGGAAAGUUUUGGCAGUUAUUGCCACUGAUGGCUUAUAGUCUUCAGCCUGACAAUCAUCCAGGAAACUGCUGGCCCUUCCCACAAAGUCAAGGACAUAUCUUCAUCAAGUUGCUUGUAGCCAUCUUUCCCACAGCAGUUACGAUAAACCACGGAAUUCCAGCAACAGCACACCAUGCAGACAGCAUCUCCAGUGCUCUGGCUUCAUCAGUUACAUAAGGCUGCAACUGCUGAGCAACCAGGGCCACCUAGAGUACAUCUGUGUGUAUCAUGAAGGUACUCUACCAUGACAGUAAUGCUACGGGAAAGCUAUCUGGUUUACUUCAGAAUAAAUAACUUUUCCCAUGUGGAAUCUCUUUUGUA